rnacentral:lncRNA from 1 species
CGAGUCACCUGCACUUCUGUGGGCCUCAGGUCCCUCAUCUGGAAAACGGGGAUGAAGACGGUGAGCCCCACGUGGGACAACCUGAUCACCCUGUAUCCUCCCCCAGCGCUUAGAACGGUGCUCUGCACCUACUAAGCGCUUAACAAAUACCAACAUUAUUAUUAUUAUUACUUGUCAGCUGUGGGACUGUGGGCGAGUCACUUCACAUCUCUGGGCUUCAGUUCCCUCCUCUGGAAAAUGGGGAUGAAGACGGUGAGCCCCACGUGGGACAACCUGAUCACCCUGUAUCCUCCCCCAGCGCUUAGAACGGUGCUCUGCACCUAGUAAGCGCUUAACAAAUACCUGCAUCAUUAUUAUUAUUACUUGUCAGCUGUGGGACUGUGGGCGAGUCACUUCACAUCUCUGGGCUUCAGUUCCCUCCUCUGGAAAAUGGGGAUGAAGACGGUGAGCCUCUCGUGGGACAACCUGAUGACCCUGUCUCUCCCCCAGCGCUUAGAACAGUGCUCUGCACCUAGUAAGCGUUUAACAAGGGAAGCAGCGUGGCUCCGUGGAAAGAGUCUGGGCUUCGGCGUCAGAGGUCAUGGGUUUGACUCCCGGCUCUGCCACUUGUCAGCUGUGUGCCUGUGGGCGAGUCGCUUCGCUUCUCUGGGCCUCCGUCACCUCAUCUGUCAAAUGGGGAUGAAGACCGUGAGCCUCACGGGGGACAACCUGAUGACCCUGUAGACUGUAAGCCCUUCAGACGACAGGGACCGUCUCUAUCUGUUGCCGACUUGUUCACCCCAAGCGCUUAGUACAGUGCUCUGCACAUAGUAAGCGCUCAAUAAAUACUAUUGAAUGAAUGAAUGACCCUGUCUCUCCCCCAGCGCUUAGAACAGUGCUCUGCACAUAAUAAGCGCUUAACAAAUACUGACAUCAUUAUUAUCAGCAAAUACCAACGUUAUUCUUAUUACUACGGGGCGGGGGGGGGGAGUGAGGGGCGGGGCCCGGUGGGGGGGUCCGGGGCCGGAGUGAGGGGGCGGGGCGCGGGGCGGAGCGUUGUCCGGAGCGUUGGGCGGCGGCGGCGACCUCCCGGCCGGAGCCCCCGUGUGUCCCGGAGCCCCCGGGAUGGGCCCGGCGCCCGGCGGGGCUGCGGCGGCUCGGGGGGCUCGGGGGGCUCGGGGGGCUCGGGGGGCUCGGGGGCCGCGGGCCCGGACCGACCGUCCCACCGUGACCCUCCCUCCGUGACCCUCCGGCGGCGGCGGCGGCGGCGGCGGCGGCGGCGGCGGCGGCGGAGCCCUCUCGGCCCGGCGGGCCAUGGGCUGCAUCAAGUCGAAGCACCCGUUCCCGCUCCCAGACUCGCUGCCCGGCGAGCGGAGAGACAGCGACGAGAGCCUGGUGCGGGACGGCCUGGUGCGGGACGGCCUGGUGCGGGACAGCCCGUCCGACACGUCCUUCCUCCCGGCCGCCCGGACCGCCUCCGCCUCCGCCGCCUCCGCCGCCGCCGCCGCCCCCGCCGCCUCCGGCUCGGCCUCCAGCGUCGUCCUGCUGCACUUCGCACACCGCCUAUCGCAGGAGAUCCUGGACGAGGCCGUCAAGCAGUGGGCCGCGGCCGACGGCAAGUACGGGGACAUCCCGUACAUCGAGAGCGACCUGCCGUGAGCCCGCGGCCCGGGGGGGGGGGGGGAGCGGGGGGGCCGAGGUUCGAGGUUCGAGGAUCGGCGGAGGGCGCCAAUACAGGCAGUGCACCGUGCGGCCGCAAGGCGGCGUCCCGCUUCCCUGCGCCGGCCGGGCCCUGGGGGCGUGGCCAAAAGGGGCGUGGCCAGGAGCGGGAGGGGCGGGGCGACCGACAGCCAAUUACCCGACUGGCCGCUAGGGGGCGGGGCCGGGAUCUGGCGGCGGAGGGGGCGGGGCCACGGGGUGAUUGA